rnacentral:rRNA from 1 species
CACGUAGGGCGCGAGCGUUGUCCGGAAUUAUUGGGCGUAAAGAGCUCGUAGGCGGCCUGUUGCGUCCGCUGUGAAAGCCCGGGGCUUAACCCCGGGUCGGCAGUGGAUACGGGCAGGCUAGAGGUAGGUAGGGGAGAAUGGAAUUCCCGGUGUAGCGGUGAAAUGCGCAGAUAUCGGGAGGAACACCGGCGGCGAAGGCGGCACUCUGGGCCGGUACUGACGCUGAGGAGCGAAAGCGUGGGUAGCAAACAGG